CCCCUGUAUACUGCACACAGGCCACUUCAAUGAGCUGAAGUGGUCUAUGUGCCUAUAGUGUCCUUUUAACACCAUAGGUGCUAAAAUGAAAGAUCAAUGGUGUGGAUAGAUCAUGUUGGCUUGCUCUGUACACGUGGAAUGAGCCUGAAGGGUUUAGGUUUCAGAUUUUAAACUCCACACCAAACUGGAUUAAACUGAAACCCAAAUUGCAAAAAAUGUCCCCAAACCCAUUCUUUUGGCCUAUUUUUUUUUCCCCAAUUUCUUCAAGUUUGGUGUUUAGUGAAUACACACCAUGGUUUUAAAAUGUAUUUACAUAGGCAAAAUAAUGACGGAUAUAAAUAAUAAGGUUUUCUGAUGCCCAUGUAAGUAUUAAUCAAGGAAUCUGGCGGCGGUCGAUCUUGGCAAAUUAAUCCAUGUAAAAAGAAAAAACUUGUAUUAUUCCAUUUUCCAGGGCGUGGGUUUAGUAAAUAAUUUUCCUGCCGGCUUAGAUCUGAUCGAAUGAAUGUACACACAUCAGAGGAGACUGUGGUGCUUAUUUCUCUUAAAGGACAACUUUCACUGCAAACCUGUUUUUUUUAAUGUAUUAACCCUUUCAUCAAGUAUUAAAAGAACCCACCCCUCAGUAUAUGUAAACAGAUCAGAGAAAUGCUUUCCUACCUUCAGUAUAUUACAGGAUCCUUCAGCCAUAUACAUGAACCUUUGGUCAGACUGUGUUAGAAAACAGUCUCCCUGCAUAGGCAGGG